AGCUGAUCUGAGGGGUGGAGAAGACAAACUCCUGAUUAUUACAUGCAAUAAAAUGAAGUAUUUCACAUGAAGUUGCCAUCAUUUAUGUUCUAAAACAGAUAUACUUCUAACACAAAAAGCUUUUAUUCUUUUCUCUCAUAUGGAAUUUCUGUGUUCAACAUAUCUGAAAUUAACCUAAAACAUUUCUGGAAAUGCUGCCUUGGAGCAGUAUCGCUCCAGUCCUUCAUCCUUAAACGGCUAUUUUUCCUCCAGCCUCCACAAGAUUAUUUUGCAGAUAACUUUUGGAACACAAACAGAUCAUCUUCACACCACAGUGACACUAAAACAGCAACAGCCUUCACAAUGGAGGAGUUUUGUAUAUAACCUGCAGGCAAAGUUUGUUGAUAGUUAUCAAUUCAAAAACAUCUGUACAGCCGUUGUGUAAAAAAUAUUAUCUGCAAAGCAAUUCCAGACCCUUUUGAAAAGAGGUGUACUUUAUUAUUCAUACACGUUAUCACAGUACCAUGCAUUAAAAUGCACAGCUUUCAAAUCUCUACAGACAGAAAGCGAAAAUGAAAAUUCUCUUUUUAUUCCUCACACGAUCAACACAACUAUAGACAAAAUCCAAUCUACUCCUCUAAAGCCAAGAAGGCAAGCACAACUUAUGCAGACAGCAUUUUCAGAGAGCUAUGUACAGUAAGAAUGUCAGAUGUCAAGUCUUUCUCUGUGCUUACUAUUCAGUCAAAUGUAUAGUGAAGUCAUAUCUCAAAAUGUUAGUUUCCAUGAUUUUGCUCAAGUCUUUCCUCCUGUCACACUACAUCUUGCUUUCUGUUUUUCCUGUUCACUUUUCAGGGAGACUGUUUCCUUUCUCUCCAGAUCUUUCACUUUUUUUCCAUGGUAUCUUGACACAUUCCCCCCCCUUCCCAAGAUUCUUAUUCUUUCAACUAAUCCCUUUGCCUCCCACUCUCUUAAUCUCUCUCCCUUCUCUACAACCCACUUGCUCAACCUACACACUCUCUCACAGGUCCGCUCUUUUAAGUAGAAAUAGUAGCUAUUAAUUUAUUUUCCACAAAUAGACAAUUACUCAGAGGUAUGCAAUUGCCAGAAAAGUCGCAUGAUGAAGUCAGCUGACUGUCAGAGCCUGAGGGCUGUAAUUAGCUCCUGGGGUUUGCAAAAUAAUUGGAGAUGUAGAUGGCAUUGGAAUUGAUUGCUGUCACCUGCUUUCUGAAUAAAAACAGUCAAUGAGGACAAAAUAAGUCAUCUUUUCUCCUGGCAAGAGAUUCUUGCAAAACACUGCUCUGCUGACAGACUUCAAAACCCUGAAAUUAUACUGAUGUUUCACAAAUCUACGAAUGGUUCAUUUAUUUUUGUUUAGAAUGAGAGCCACGAAAGCAUUCAUUCCUACCCUUUUGUCUCUCCGCUACGAAAAUGAAUGUCAGCUUUUUCCAAAAUGCUCCUGGCUUCAGGCAGGAAGGGACAACCACGCUACAAAUAAAAUACUUAGCAUAAUUAAUUAACCCUCUCUUCCUUUAAUAGCUACCUUCCUGAGACUUCACUAACACAAAAUGAAGCAGGCAAGUAUAAACCCUAGAAGGAGAGAAUGCAUCUGUAACCUCUGAGCACCUAACAUUACAGAGUCAAGACACAUUGCAACAUCAACUGAAUCUCAACAGAAACAUCCAGGUUAGCAAGCUUGCAGGAGUAUUUUUCAUAUGAGAGGGAGGGAGCCAUCACUGCUUUACUACACAUCACAUGGCAUGCAAGUGUAACACUGGGAAGUAAGUAGUAAGAUAUGGUGACCUUUCACAAAGUACUUUGUAUGAAAUGACUUUAAAAAUACUGCAAUAGUCUCCAAGUCAGUGCGACAUAACUCAGACGGUUCUGUCCCCCAGGUACCAAAGGAAGUCCGGUUCCACCCGUGGCAGCACUGCUAGAGAGCCUGCCUCUGUGCACCUGCACUACCGCACUCUCAUCUGUCUGCUGCUCUGGCAUUCGCAUUCCUGAGAAUAUCUGUAAUGAGUACUUGAAGCUAAGGAUUGCCCGGAGGAAGACACAGAGGUUUAUUUCUUCACAAACACUCUUCUAUUUUAUGUCACAGCAUGAGGGCACAUCGAGUGUUAUUUGACAGAGAAGUUACAGCAUGUUGUAAGCUCACACCAUGGUUUACAGUUCAUGCACCUACAGCGCAGUUGUGGAAAGCAAAAGGACAUCACCAGAGCACUGAGAAUUUAGAAGAGGCAACUUCUUUGUGCUCAAG